CUGCAUUUGUUAUUUCCACUUUUCUGCAUCUGGUUGUGAAGUUUUAUGCCCUAGAACAUGGUCAAUCUUUAUAUAUUUACUAUGUGCAGCUGAAAAGAAGUUUUAUUAUAGAUGAGGAACCUGAGUCUGAGAGAGAUUCAGUGAAUUGCCUGUGGACACAAAGAUAAUAAGUGUUAGAGGAGUUACUUGAUCCGAGAGGAAAUAGUCAUGGGAGUUGAAUGAACUGGAGAAGGAUAUGGUCAACUCUGUGCUUUUCUACCUUAAAUUCUACUGAAGGAAUAAAAGAUGUAUACAGGUAAGUAAAUUUAAUCUA
rnacentral:lncRNA from 1 species